UUGGAGGGCAAGUCUGGUGCCAGCAGCCGCGGUAAUUCCAGCUCCAAUAGCGUAUAUUAAAGUUGUUGCAGUUAAAAAGCUCGUAGUUGAAUUUCGGGAUUCAUCCGUUGGUCGGGCUUCACGGUCCGUACUGGUGUGAUGGGUUCCUACCUUCUGAAUAACCGGCAUGCCAUUAAUUUGGUGCGCCGGGGGAGCAGAACUAUUACCUUGAAAAAAUUAGAGUGCUUAAAGCAGGCAAGUGCCUGAAUAGGUUAGCAAGGAAUAAUAAAAUAGGACGGCAUGGUUCUAUUUUGUUGGUUUCUAGGAUCACCGUAAUGAUUAAUAGGGAUAGUUGGGGGCAUUAAUAUUCAAUUGUCAGAGGUGAAAUUCUUGGAUUUAUUGAGGACUAACUUCUGCGAAAGCAUUUGCCAAGGAUGUUUUCAUUAAUCAAGAACGAAAGUUAGGGGAUCGAAGACGAUCAGAUACCGUCGUAGUCUUAACCAUAAACUAUGCCGACUAGGGAUCGGACGAUGUUAAUUUUUUAAUGACUCGUUCGGCGCCUUACGGGAAAC
rnacentral:rRNA from 1 species